CGGGUUCUGCCCCUCUCGUUACACGGUUGCAUUCCGGUGGCCUUAAGCAAUUCCGAGGGAGCUGGCUCUGGUCAGAUCGUGGUCUGGCUACCUGGUGCCCACCUGUACACACAGGUCCUCGGGAAUGAGAUAACCAUACGGUCGCGUGCGGGCCCGCC
rnacentral:misc_RNA from 1 species